GAUGAACGCUGGCGGCGUGCCUAAUACAUGCAAGUCGAACGAAGCGGGGACGGGUGAGUAACACGUGGAUAACCUCCUAUAAGACUGGGAAAACUUCGGGAAACCGGAGCUAAACCGGAUACUUAUCGAUGGAUCCGCACUGCAUUAGCUAGUUGGUCAGGUAACGGCUUACCAAGGCAACGAUUCAUAGCCGACCUGAGAGGGUGAUCGGCCACACGGGAACUGAGACACGGUCCAGACUCCUAAGGGAGGCAGCAGUGGGGAAUCUUGCGCAAUGGGCGAAAGCCUGACGGAGCAACGCCGCGUGAGUGAUGAAGGUCUUCGGAUCGUAAAACACUGUCAUUAGGGAAGCGGUACCUAAUCAGAAAGCAACGGCUAACGACGUGCCAGCAGCCGCGGUAAUAC
rnacentral:rRNA from 1 species